CCCAGGACUCUUGUGCUGUCCAUAUGUUGGUGGCAGCUGGUCAGCUGUUGGUGCAAGUGAUGAGAAAGGGAUGGCAACGGAUAGAAGACCUUGUUAAAGGUGCCACUGGACAUAGGAGCUACUAAAGAAACUACCAUCUUGCCUACAGAAGAAGAAUGGGAAUAAGCAGAAGGAAAUGAGAGAGGAGGGAAGGAAUUUCAAUUAAGUUGAAACCUGAGCAAUUCAACUGUGCUAUGUAAAAAACUUAGAUACCACUCUAUUUAUACACUUACACAUAGCAGAAGAAAGAUAAAAAAGAAUAAAGGAAAAGGGAAGCUAAUUAAAAAAAAAAAGAAAGGAAU